rfam:Tupaia chinensis contig57348, whole genome shotgun sequence.
GGAUACUGAGGAAUGGCUGCAUACUGAAAUUGGAAUCAUACAGAGAAGAUUAACAUGACUCUGAUGAAAGGAUGACAUACAAAACUGUGUAGAAUUUAUAUUUUUG